rnacentral:rRNA from 1 species
CCUACGGGCGGCAGCAGUGGGGAAUAUUGCACAAUGGGGGAAACCCUGAUGCAGCGACGCCGCGUGAGUGAAGAAGUAAUUCGUUAUGUAAAGCUCUAUCAGCAGGGAAGAAAAUGACGGUACCUGAGUAAGAAGCCCCGGCUAACUACGUGCCAGCAGCCGCGGUAAAACGUAGGGGGCAAGCGUUAUCCGGAUUUACUGGGUGUAAAGGGAGCGUAGACGGCAGUGCAAGUCUGGAGUGAAAGGCGGGGGGUCAACCCCCGGACUGCUCUGGAAACUGUACGGCUGGAGUGCAGGAGAGGUAAGUGGAAUUCCUAGUGUAGCGGUGAAAUGCGUAGAUAUUAGGAGGAACACCAGUGGCGAAGGCGGCUUACUGGACUGUAACUGACGUUGAGGCUCGAAAGCGUGGGGAGCAAACAGGAUUAGAUACCCUUGUAGUC